rnacentral:rRNA from 1 species
UACGGGGGGGGCAAGCGUUGUUCGGAAUUACUGGGCGUAAAGGGCUCGUAGGUGGCCAACUAAGUCGGACGUGAAAUCCCUCAGCUUAACUGGGGAACUGCGUCCGAUACUGGAUGGCUUGAGUUUGGGAGAGGGAUGCGGAAUUCCGGGUGUAGUGGUGAAAUGCGUAGAGAUCCGGAGGAACCCCAGAGGCGAAGGCGGCGCCCUGGCUCGCAACUGACGCUCAGACACGACAGCAUGGGGAGCGAACGGG